UGCCUGGCGGCAGGCUACACAUGCAGUCGAGCGGUACAGAGAGAAGCUUACUUCUUUGCUGACGAGCGGCGGACGGGUGAGUAACGCGUAGGAGUCUACCUAUUAGUGGGGGAUAAGCCAGAGAAAUUUGGUCUAAUACCGCAUACGCCCUACGGGGGAAAGGAGGGGAUCUUCGGACCUUUCGCUAUUAGAUGAGCCUGCGUAAGAUUAGCUAGUUGGUGAGGUAAUGGCUCACCAAGGCGACGAUCUUUAGCUGGUCUGAGAGGAUGAUCAGCCACACUGGGACUGAGACACGGCCCAGACUCCCACGGGAGGCAGCAGUGGGGAAUAUUGGACAAUGGGGGGAACCCUGAUCCAGCCAUGCCGCGUGUGUGAAGAAGGCCUUCGGGUUGUAAAGCACUUUCAGAUGUGAGGAAAGGUGAGUAGUUAAUACCUGCUUACUGUGACGUUAGCAUCAGAAGAAGGACCGGCUAACUCCGUGCCAGCAGCCGCGGUAAUACGGAGGGUCCGAGCGUUAAUCGGAAUUACUGGGCGUAAAGCGCGCGUAGGUGGCUAAGUCAGUCAGAUGUGAA
rnacentral:rRNA from 1 species